GCCUGUGCUCCGCAAUGGGAGAGGCCACAGCAGUGAGAGGCCCGCGUACCGAAAAAAAAAAAAAAAGAAAGAAAGAAAUUGAAUUAGAACUAUCAUCUCCUGAUAAACUCUGAAUUGUCUUUCUCAUUUUUCCCUCAUUAUUACUUAGCCCAGGGCCUGUUCUGUUGAAUGGAAUUAAGUAAAUAUUUAAAAUCUCUAGGUCAGGAAUUAGCAAAUUAUAAUUUAUAAUUAGCAAAUUAUAAAUUUUCACAGGCCAAAUUCAGUGAUCAUCUGCUUUUGUAAAUAAAGUUUUAAUGAAACGCAGCCACAGCCGCUCAUCUAAGAAUUACCCGCUCUUCUGCCGUAACAAUUGAGCUGAGUCAUGAGCACAGCUGUGUGGCCCACAAAGGGAAACAUCCACAAACCCCUGCCCGCUCCAUCCAUGUAAGACCAGUUGCGCCAGGAACUAAAGCUUGAAGAACACACUAAAUUCUCUUGUUACUUUUCCUCACACAAAUUUCAUGAAACUGGAUUUUUACAACAAAAACAGGCCAUGCUAAGCCAUUCUUCAAUGUCUUAAUUAUAGAAAUUGUAACUUACUAUACGUCAGUGGAUGGAAAUCAGCAGCCCAAACUGUACAUACUGACUUACACACUUGAUGUACCUUCUCAGAGCUGAGAAAUAUCUAUUGGAAAAACGUACUGUCGGAGCUCCCCAUUCUGAGAGGGAAAAAAAAAGAGUGCUUUUCAAGGUUAGCAGUUUACUGCCUCAAGGUCAAUUUUGCGGGUUAAUUUUGCUUGAAACUAAGCAUAUUAUAAACAUUUAACAUGUCUUCCUGACCUGGAACCAAUCAGGGGCCAAGCUUUGAAAACUCUAAGGAACGGCAUCCAGUUUCUAAGUGUAAUUACGGGCUUUGUAAUUGCCCAUUAGCUCCGAGUCACAAGAAGUACGGUCCAGACCAGACAGGUCCUUAUAUUGAUACACAGAAAAUACUCAGCCUCAGUUUGAGCCCUCACAAAGCAUAUCUUCUGGCUGAACAAGGUCACCAGCAGCACCCCCAGGAAGCGGGCAACACCAGAGAACGGCACCUGCUCUUUGCAUCACGGGAUUCAAGCUGGAUGGUCCAGGAGGAAGGAAGCUUCAAAUCUCAGCCUCGACUGGAGGGCUGGCGAGAAUGGGAUGAUUCGAAAGGGAGCAGAAGAUCGAAGAGGACGAACAGAAACAUCUGGAUGGUCCAAGCGCCAGCAGAGGAAGGAGGCCCCGGCACCAGAAAGCCCCGCCUGGCUGCAGUUUAGCGUUGCCGAGGUUCGUGUUGCCGGCAGGCUCCCCCACUGGGCUCACCCACCGCCUCCUGGGGCCUCUCUGCUUUCUUGAGACAAGUUCAGGUUCUCGUCUCCAGGGUCGCUUCCUGGUCGUGGGUCUUCCGGGCCUGGGGAGCUUGCACCCUCGAUGCAUCGCUUCCGGGAGGGAGAGGAGCACGGCUCGGCUCAGGAGGAGCGAGAAAGGAAAGAGGGCUGCUUCUUGCUGUUUAAACAGAUGAUCUGCCGGUAGGAAGUUUCAGCCGCAGCUGCUUCCUGCUUUGAAUACCAGCCUCACAGAGUUUAUUUAAGUAGGAUUUUUCCGCAACCUGUGAAGCGCAAUUCCGAAGGCACAGAGGAGAAGCACCUCAGUCCGCACAAUGUGGUCGAGUGCCAAGUGCCACAGAAUGUCCCGCAGAGGCCACGGGGGAGUGACCCCUGGGGAAACGGUGCUCCAAGCUUGAUGUACUGUAACGUCGUAGGAAAGAGAAAGAAGUGCCACAAAUGAGAAAAUACAAACGCGGUCUUGUCACGGAUGGAGCUAGUGUAACCCUGGGAGACAGGAGGCUGCGGAAGAGCCUCCUGGGGAGGGGUCGGAGGUACUGAGACGGCUGAAGAAUAGAAGGAAGAAGAUGCAGACGCAGAAAUGCCCUCUGGCCGAGUCAGCAAGGAGGGCACCACCAGGAGCACCAGUUAUAUACACGUUAUUUUCCCAUCGUCUCCACAUCAUUCCCUGGCCCCCGAGUCACUUAACCGCUUUGCACUGUGCAUGCCCAGCAUCCUGAGUGACUUCAGGUUUGCUCCCCGUGUCCAGGACAGCAUUUCCCACCUGCUUCUCCUACUUCUGAUGGCUUCUGUUGGAGCUUUCACCUCCUGGCUUCUUCCUCCUUCAUCCACUCCUGAUCCUCUGUCCUUGUCCUGCAGUCUCUCCUUGGAGCCCUUACUGCUCUUCCUUCUGCUUUUUUCCUAGGAGAGCUUGUCUUGACUCUAAGUUUGUUUAGUGAUGUUAUUUCUUUGAAUGAUUUCUUAUUUCUUUGUCUUUUUGCAAUUUUGAAAAAAAAUUAAAGAUACAGGAAAAGUAUAAAGAAUUUUUACAAAACACAUUGUGUUUCCAUAACCCAAAUUUAACUAUAUAUUUUGUCAUA